rnacentral:miRNA from 1 species
UUUUCUUCUUCUUCUUCUUC